AUGAAACAGAUCAGGGUGUGACAAACAUAAAACCUGGGGGAAUAUGUCUCUGAUCUCAUUUCUGACCAUGUCCCAAAUUUCACCCUAUUCCCUAUAUAGGGACAUACAAUGAUGCCGGUUGUGUGAAGGGCAUGUUCUCAUGUCUCUAAUUACUGACUCUGUACCUGAGAACCUGAUUUGAUAACAGCUGCAGGGCCCAUGAUGCCUGUGGAGAUGUGGAGACCGUGAAGGAGCUCCUAGGCCAGGGGGCUGACCCCAACCUGAAAGACGCCGCUGGAUGGACCCCACUGGGAUUCAUUGAGUUGGGCAAUACAACAAAAACAGCUGAACAUCAUUCUACAGGACU
rnacentral:lncRNA from 1 species